rnacentral:tRNA from 24 species
GGAGGCUUAGCUCAGUUGGGAGAGCAUCUGCCUUACAAGCAGAGGGUCAGCGGUUCGAGCCCGUUAGCCUCCACCA